CAAGUACUCCCUCCGUCCGGAAUUACUUGUCAUCAAAAUGGAUGUGUCUAGAACUAAAAUACAUCUAGAUACAUCCAUUUCGAUGACAAGUAUUUUCGGAUGGAAGGAGUACAAG
rnacentral:pre_miRNA from 1 species